AUUGAACGCUGGCGGCAGGCUUAACACAUGCAAGUCGAGCGGGUGAUGGUGCUUGCACUAUCACUUAGCGGCGGACGGGUGAGUAAUGCUUAGGAAUCUGCUUAUUAGUGGGGGACAACAUCUCGAAAGGGAUGCUAAUACCGCAUACGUCAUACUGGAGAAAGCAGGGGAUCUUUAUGAACUUGCGCUAAUAGAUGAGACUAAGUCGGCUUAGCUAGUUGGUGGGGUAAAGGCCUACCAAGGCGACGAUCUGUAGCGGGUCUGAGAGGAUGAUCCGCCACACUGGGACUGAGACACGGCCCAGACUCCUACGGGAGGCAGCAGGGGGGAAUAUUGGACAAUGGGGGGAACCCUGAUCCAGCCAUGCCGCGUGUGUGAAGAAGGCCUUAUGGUUGUAAAGCACUUUAAGCGAGGAGGAGGCUCUUUUGGUUAAUACCCAGAAUGAGUGGACGUUACUCGCAGAAUAAGCACCGGCUAACUCUGUGCCAGCCGCCGCCGUAA
rnacentral:rRNA from 1 species